rnacentral:rRNA from 1 species
UACGAAGGGUGCUAGCGUUGUUCGGAAUCACUGGGCGUAAAGCGCGCGUAGGUGGCUUUUCAAGUCAGGGGUGAAAUCCCACGGCUCAACCGUGGAACUGCCUCUGAAAACUGAGAAGCUUGAGUGUCGGAGGGGAUAGCGGAAUUGCUAAUGUAGAGGUGAAAUUCGUAGAUAUUAGCAGGAACACCGGUGGCGAAGGCGGCUAUCUGGACGACAACUGACACUGAGGCGCGAAAAGUGUGGGGAUCAAACAGG